rnacentral:tRNA from 18 species
GGUCAGCUAGCUCAGUUGGUAGAGCAACGGACUCUUAAUCCGUGGGUCCAGGGUUCGAGCCCCUGGCUGACCACUA